UGACUUCUGACCUCAAAUCAGGUAGGAUUACCCGCUGAACUUAAGCAUAUCAAUAAGCGGAGGAAAAGAAACUAACAAGGAUUCCCCUAGUAACUGCGAGUGAAGCGGGAAAAGCUCAAAUUUAAAAUCUGGCGGUCUUUGGCCGUCCGAGUUGUAGUCUGGAGAAGUGCUUUCCGCGCUGGACCGUGUACAAGUCUCUUGGAACAGAGCGUCAUAGAGGGUGAGAAUCCCGUCUUUGACACGGACUACCAGUGCUUUGUGAUGCGCUCUCAAAGAGUCGAGUUGUUUGGGAAUGCAGCUCAAAAUGGGUGGUAAAUUCCAUCUAAAGCUAAAUAUUGGCGAGAGACCGAUAGCGAACAAGUACCGUGAGGGAAAGAUGAAAAGCACUUUGGAAAGAGAGUUAAACAGUACGUGAAAUUGCUGAAAGGGAAACGCUUGAAGUCAGUCGCGUUGGCCAGGACUCAGCCUUGCUUUAGCUUGGUGCAUUUUCUGGUUGACGGGCCAGCAUCGAUUUCGGUCGUCGGAUAAAGGUUGAGGGAAUGUGGCAUCUUCGGAUGUGUUAUAGCCCUCAGUCACAUACGACGGCUGGAAUCGAGGACCGCAGCACGCCUUUAUGCCGGGGUUCGCCGACCGUUCGGCUAGGAUGCGGCAAUUCAGCUCGGGAACGUGUUCAGG
rnacentral:rRNA from 1 species